AUACGGAGGGUGCAAGCGUUACUCGGAAUCACUGGGCGUAAAGCGCGCGCAGGCGGUUUGAUAAGUUGGAUGUGAAAUCCUAUGGCUCAACCAUAGAACUGCAUCCAAAACUGUCAAACUAGAGUCUGGAAGAGGAAGAUGGAAUUAGUUGUGUAGGGGUAAAAUCCGUAGAGAUAACUAGGAAUACCAAAAGCGAAGGCGAUCUUCUGGAACAGUACUGACGCUGAGGCGCGAAAGCGUGGGGAGCAAACAGGAUUAGAAACCCCGGUAGUCC
rnacentral:rRNA from 1 species